rnacentral:rRNA from 1 species
AUUGAACGCUGGCGGCAGGCCUAACACAUGCAAGUCGAACGAGUGGCGGACGGGUGAGUAAUGUCUGGGAAACUGCCUGAUGGAGGGGGAUCACUACUGAAAACGGUAGCUAAUACCGCAUACCAUCGGAUGUGCCCAGAUGGGAUUAGCUAGUAGGUGGGGUAAAGGCCCACCUAGGCGACGAUCCCUAGCUGGUCUGAGAGGAUGACCAGCCAAACUGGAACUGAGACACGGUCCAGACGCCUACGGGAGGCAGCAGUGGGGAAUAUUGCACAAUGGGCGCAAGCCUGAUGCAGCCAUGCCGCGUGUAUGAAGAAGGCCUUCGGGUUGUAAAGUACUUUCAGUCGGGAGGCGUUACCCACAGAAGAAGCACCGGCUAACUCCGUGCCAGCAGCCGCGGUAAUAC